UCCCGUGUAGCUUAGUUGGUAGAGCAUGGUGCCUCCAACACCAGGGUUGUGGGUUUGAUUCCCCUGGGGGGAC
rnacentral:tRNA from 1 species